GUGAGGAAUAUUGGUCAAUGGGCGAGAGCCUGAACCAGCCAAGUCGCGUGAAGGAUGAAGGUUUUAUGAAUUGUAAACUUCUUUUGCAGGGGAAUAAAGUACGGUACGUGUACCGUUUUGUAUGUACUCUGCGAAUAAGGAUCGGCUAACUCCGUGCCAGCAGCCGCGGUAAUACGGAGGAUCCAAGCGUUAUCCGGAUUUAUUGGGUUUAAAGGGUGCGCAGGCGGGUUGAUAAGUCAGCGGUGAAAGUUUGCAGCUUAACUGUAAAAUUGCCGUUGAAACUGUCGAUCUUGAGUGCAAAUGAGGUAAGCGAAAUGUGGUGUGUAGCGGUGAAAUGCUUAGAUAUAACACAGAACACCGAUUGCGAAGGCAGCUUACUGGGAUGCAACUGACGCUCAUGCACGAAAGCGUGGGGAUCAAACAGGAUUAGAAACCCCUGUAGUCC
rnacentral:rRNA from 1 species